rnacentral:rRNA from 1 species
UCCUACGGGGCGCAGCAGUGGGGAAUAUUGCACAAUGGGGGAAACCCUGAUGCAGCGACGCCGCGUGAGUGAAGAAGUAUUUCGGUAUGUAAAGCUCUAUCCGCAGGGAAGAAAAUGACGGUACCUGACUAAGAAGCCCCGGCUAACUACGUGCCAGCAGCCGCGGUAAUACGUAGGGGGCAAGCGUUAUCCGGAUUUACUGGGGGUAAAGGGGGCGGAGGUGGCAGGGCAAGGCAGAUGUGAAAGCCCGGGGCUCAACCCCGGUACUGCAUUUGAAACUGUCCAGCUGGAGUGCAGGAGAGGUA